GUGGCUGUAGCUCAGUUGGUUAGAGCGCCAGAUUGUGGAUCUGGAUGUCGGGGGUUCGAAUCCCCUCAGCCACCCCU
rnacentral:tRNA from 1 species